UACACACCGCCCGUCACACCAUGGGAGCGGGCUCUGCCAGAAGUAGUUAGCCUAACCGCAAGGAGGGCGAUUACCACGGCAGGGUUCGUGACUGGGGUG
rnacentral:rRNA from 1 species